UUCGCCCAAGAAUACCAAAAGCGCACAUUGUAAGUUUUGAACAGAUGGAUUUGACAUUUGGCUCUUCUCCAAGGGAGAAAGACAUUCAGUUUGGGAAAGUGGGUAUUGAGACAAGAAUGUGUGGUUUGAAGAAGGGCAGGAUCUUCUACCUGAAGUGCCUUCUGCAGAAGCCAUCAGUCCUGGCCAUCGCUAAUGGAGCUGGAGAUUAAGAUUCCAAAGUUACAUCCACUGUGCGAUUCCGGAGUGGGACAUGUGGCAUUUUGUUGAAUCUUGAAGAAUGUAACACCCUUGUUUCGGUCAUGCUUCAGAAUUACCUGAACACUGAAAAUGCAAAGCUGAUCCCUUUCUUGAAAGCUGGUGCCUUCGCUCUUGGCCUGCUUCUGGAAGAGGUGCAUGAAAGGCCCACACGUGCUGUUGCGCUGGGGCCGGAGACGCCAGAUCACAGCACCUUCCGCAGGCACCCGGUCUGGGAAGAGGAUGGAAAAUACGUGCCCAGAGACUGAUGAAAUACAAUCCAUAUUUUAUGGCAAGAUGAGGAAAAAUUUAAAAUUUUAAACAUAAAAUUGUUCUGUGCCUGUUUGGGUCUCUCCCUCCCUUUCAAUGUGUGUUGUGCAUCUGCAUUAACCAGACCUCCUCAGGAGGUAACAUUCCUUCUUAAUCCCAAGGGUCCUAACUCCUUAGGAGAUAACUUCCUUCUUAAUCCUGUAAGGGGCCACGGUGACCCUGCUCCGUGACUCGCUUGUACCUGUGGAUCUGGACUGUGUACACUGUCAACAACAUGUCAUUCAAUGUGCAGCCCUCUCUGUCUCAAAACCUUCCACAACCGUGCUUUGACCUCUAACGGGCGGAACAGUUCUUAAAGCUUUCUGAGAAGCCGCUGCCAGGUUAUAAUCCUCAGUUUGGUUUGAAUAACAAUUUCCACUUCUUUCUUAGACUGACUGGUUAAUUUUUUCGACAGGACAUUAUGGAGAAUGAACACCUAGUUGGAGGAUGCGCAAGACAUCCAAGGCAGCAAACACUGGGGGCCUCUCCCUUCCGAGAAUCUGAGAUCUGAGACGAUCCAGGCUUAGAGUGCUGCCGGAACAGGCAUUUACAAUACGACAAAGGAAGAAUUUCCUAACUCCCACCAGGCUAUCAGCCACUGGCACGACUUGCUAACAUGGUUUUAUGGAAUGAUUAAUGUGGCAAAGCUGGAUAUCAUUUUGGAAUGUUUUUCACGUAUCCCUUCAUAAAGGCAAGGCAGGACCACAGGUGGGGCCUUUCAGCCCGUGGCUUGAUGGCUUCUCUAGGCCUCAUGAGAUGGUUGCAAUAAAUUGUUUCCCUCCUCUUCAUGCUUGGGUCCUCAAAAUAGCUGUUCUCACUUCACUAUGUCCUGGUAUUCUUGGACCCAACCUCCCUCCCACUGAGGUUCUAACUGAAGCCCAAAACUGGACCAGCCUCACUUCAUAUCUAUCACAGGUGGAUUUUUUUUUUAAAUAGUCCUUCUUAGAAAAGAUGACUCCAAACUUCAGUGUGGCAGAGUUGAAAAUGUUUCAGAGUUGGGAUAUGCGAUAAAUGAUUGAAUAAUGGCCCCAGUGACUCAUCUGGAUCCCCGCCCUUUGCAAGUGACUUUGUCGCUCCUCCCAUCAAGCCUUCUCACUUCCUUUGUGGUGAGGAUGUGGCAGAAGUGUCAGUGUGACAGUUCCAAGUUUAAGCUUCCAGAGGCCAUGAGCACUUUGACUCUCUCGGGAGCAUUGGCUCUCCCAGAACAAUCCUGGGCUAGCUGCUGGAAGAUGAGAGACCAGCACAGUAGAAGUGAGUCAUUCCAGUUGAGAUCAUGCUAAACAGCCAGGUGACCUGCCAGCUGACGCAAAUGCCUAAGAAAGCCUGGCCAAGACAGAAACAAGACCAGAGCUGCCCAGCUAAGCUCAGCCUAAAUUGCUAAUCUGCAGAAUCUUUGUG